rnacentral:rRNA from 1 species
GGGUGUCGGAAAAUUGAGAGGAGUUGCCCCUAGUACGAGAGGACCGGGGUGAACGUACCUCUGGUGUACCAGUUGUGGCGCCAGCCGCACCGCUGGGUAGCUAAGUACGGACGAGAUAACCGCUGAAAGCAUCUAAGCGGGAAACUCUCCUCGAAACUAGUUUUCCCUAUGAGAGUCGUGGAAGACCACCACGUUGAUAGGCUAGGUGUGGAAGUGCGGUAACGCAUGAAGCUAACUAGUACUAAUCACUCCAUUGGCUUGAUUCCA